GCUGUUAUAGCUCAUUGGCUAGAGUGUCUUUGCAGUAUUAUGAAGGACCUUGGUUUGAAUCCAGGUGGCAGCU